rnacentral:rRNA from 1 species
AACGAACGCUGGCGGCAUGCCUAACACAUGCAAGUCGAACGAGACCUUCGGGUCUAGUGGCGCACGGGUGCGUAACGCGUGGGAACCUGCCCUUAGGUUCGGAAUAACUCCCCGAAAGGGGUGCUAAUACCGGAGAAUGUCUUCGGACCAAAGAUGUAUCGCCUUUGGCUGGGCCCGCGUUGGAUUAGCUAGUUGGUAGGGUAAAAGCCUACCAAGGCGACGAUCCAUAGCUGGUCUGAGAGGAUGAUCAGCCACACUGGGACUGAGACACGGACCAGACUCCUACGGGAGGCAGCAGUGGGGUAUAUUAGACAAUGGGCGAAAGCCUGAUCCAGCAAUGCCGCGUAAGUGAUGAAGGCCUUAGGGUUGUAAAGCUCUUUUACCCGGGAUGAUAAUGACAGUAACGGGAGAAUAAGCACCGGCUAACUCCGUG